rnacentral:misc_RNA from 1 species
AAGUCGUAACAAGGUCUCCGUUGGUGAACCAGCGGAGGGAUCAUUAAAGAGUUGCAAAACUCCCAACCAUUGCUAAACAACCACUGUUUCUUCGGCGGGUGGCCGCAUGGCCGCGCGCACCCCUCUCGGGGGGACGCACCCCGCCGGAGCACACCAAACUCUUGUCAUUAUUGAUGCUCUGAGUAAAAAACACAAUUAUUACAACUUUCAACAAUGGAUCUCUUGGCUCUG